CCUACGGGAGGCAGCAGUGGGGAAUAUUGGACAAUGGGGGCAACCCUGAUCAGCCAUGCCGCGUGUGUGAAGAAGGCCCUCGGGUUGUAAAGCACUUUCAGUGAGGAAGAACGCCUGGUGGUUAAUACCCAUCAGGAAAGACAUCACUCACAGAAGAAGCACCGGCUAACUCCGUGCCAGCAGCCGCGGUAAUACGGAGGGUGCGAGCGUUAAUCGGAAUUACUGGGCGUAAAGCGCGCGUAGGUGGCUUGAUAAGCCGGUUGUGAAAGCCCCGGGCUCAACCUGGGAACGGCAUCCGGAACUGUCAAGCUAGAGUGCAGGAGAGGAAGGUAGAAUUCCCGGUGUAGCGGUGAAAUGCGUAGAGAUCGGGAGGAAUACCAGUGGCGAAGGCGGCCUUCUGGACUGACACUGACACUGAGGUGCGAAAGCGUGGGUAGCAAACAGGAUUAGAUACCCGGGUAGUC
rnacentral:rRNA from 1 species